rnacentral:rRNA from 1 species
UGGGGAAUAUUGGACAAUGGGCGCAAGCCUGAUCCAGCAAUGCCGCGUGUGUGAAGAAGGCCUUCGGGUUGUAAAGCACUUUUAUCAGGAGCGAAACGCUGUCGGCUAAUACCCGGCGGAACUGACGGUACCUGAGGAAUAAGCACCGGCUAACUUCGUGCCAGCAGCCGCGGUAAUACGAAGGGUGCAAGCGUUAAUCGGAAUUACUGGGCGUAAAGCGUGCGUAGGCGGUUUCUUAAGUCUGCUGUGAAAUCCCCGGGCUCAACCUGGGAAUGGCAGUGGAUACUGGGAGGCUAGAGUGUGUCAGAGGGUGGUGGAAUUCCCGGUGUAGCGGUGAAAUGCGUAGAGAUCGGGAGGAACAUCAGUGGCGAAGGCGGCCACCUGGGACAACACUGACGCUGAGGCACGAAAGCGUGGGGAGCAAACAGGAUUAGAUACCCUGGUAGUCCACGCCCUAAACGAUGCGAACUGGAUGUUGGUCUCAACUCGGAGAUCAGUGUCGAAGCUAACGCGUUAAGUUCGCCGCCUGGGGAGUACGGUCGCAAGACUGAGACUCAAAUGAAUUGACGGGGUCAUAGCUGUUU